GUAAAUUAGUGUGGGAAUGAAUGUCGAGUGGAAUGGAACGUGACAGAAUAUGAGGGAGGCGUGAGCGAGUGAGCGAAGGAGUGAGAGAGAGGGACUGAAUGAACGGUGUUAGAGGCAACCACGCGGUACUGAGUGUAACGAACGAGCCAAAGUUGUUGAAAUAAAAGUUGUAAUAAGUGUUUAAAACGGGAUUUUAUUUCAAAGUCAUCGAUCCCCAGCACGAAGAGAGCUACAGAUUUUGGGGGCUCGUCCGGGAUCGAUCAACGACGAAUUUCCACGAAGUUUUCUACGACGCACCGGCCGGCGCGACGCGGCGGCCAUUAAAUUUGAAUUACGAAGUUACGGAGCACGAUGGAAUCGAAAUCAACGACGAUUACGACUGCAGCGGCGCCGGUGGCGUUCGGGCUCACAGAGGGGCUCAUCGAGAAGUUCAGCGGAGACGACAAAUCUUACUCGUCGAGUAAGUGGGCUCAAGACAUCGAGGAUAACGCUGAGAUAUUUCAGUGGACGCCGCAACAAACUUUGAUCGUAGCUCGCCGGUCACUCACCGGGACGGCUGAGCUAUGGUUAAAAUCCGAGAAGGCAUUCAAAACCUACGGCGAUCUCAAGGCUGCGCUUGUGAAGGAAUUUCCAGACACCGCGAACGUCAAGGAAAUGCACGAGCUAAUGGCGGCACGCAAGAAAUUAAAAGGCGAGACGUAUUAUCAGUACAUGUUGCAUAUGAAAGAGCUAGCGCGGCGUGCGAAAUUUCCGACUACAUCGCGAUACAGUACAUCGUGGAUGGCAUCGACGAUUACGAGAGCAAUAAGGUGAUUCUGUACGGCGUGACCACGUUUCCAGCAUUGAAGGAAAAGCUGGCUUUCUAUGAGAAAAUGAAGUCCAAAACCAGGGAGCGAGAAAAGAGAACCGAGAGGUUAAAAGGUCAUGCGAGGUCGGCGGAGGCGUCCUCGGCAGCAUCGGGAUCGGCGAGGCGGUGCUAUAGCUGUGGUGACAUGGGACAUGAAGCGGGUGUGUGUAAAAACGGAUUGAAGUGUUUUGGGUGUAAUCAGUUCGGUCACAUUCGUAACCAGUGUCCCGUAAAUCCGAUGAGAUCUACGGCUACAGCAUCGGCAUCGGGUCAUUCAGGCGCCAAGAUGGCGGGCGCAGGCGGCAGCGGCGCUCACGGCGGCCGAGGAGGCGGGCUUCCGGUUCCGGGGAGGCCGGAAAGUUGGGACCCAAGCGACCCGCGGCUAUGUUCGGAACGGUGAACGAAGUAAGCGGAAACGAGACUGUCCGCGCGGUCAUAGACAAUGAAACGUCACUGACAUUGACAGAUGUCAACACUGUAAAUGUGACAGCUACGAGUUACGAAGAUCGAAACGUUAACAUCACGCAUGUAAACAAAUGUGUUCGGAAGCCGGUAAAAGACAUUAAAAUUAAUAAUACAGUUUUAAAUGCUCUCGUAGAUUCAGGAUGUGUAGCAGUCAAUGUUGAUCACAUUCAAGAUCCAGCAGUAAGGAGUGAGGUUAUGCAAUGUGUUGAGGAGUAUAAGCCAUUGUAUAAGGAAGAGGCCCGAUCCAACUUCAAAUUGUAUUGAAGGAUGACAUCCCAGUGCGACAGCGACAGACGACUGUCACUUAUGGAGCAACAGGUAGUGGAAGAUCAAAUCGAGGAAUGGCUUGAUAAAGGCAUCGUGAGGGUGAGUUUCUCAGAUUACUCCAGUCCUUUAGUGCUAGUAAAGAAGAAAGAUGGUUCGACUAGGGUCUGUGUGGACUAUAGGCAGGUCAACAAGAAAAUAGUUAAGGAUGAAUUUCCACUUCCCGUAAUCCAUGAUCUGAUUGACAAAUUGCAGGAAGCUAAGGUAUUCAGUGUACUUGAUUUGAAAAGUGGGUUCUUUCAUUUGAAGGUCAGCGAGGAGUCUAUUAAGUACACAUCAUUUGUCACUCACCACGGGCAGUUUGAAUUUCUCCGUGCCCGCUUGGUUUGUCCACCUGUCCCAAGACUUUUAUGAGAUUUGUGAGUAUAAUCUUUAGAAAUUUGAUUUCCCAAGGAGUGUUAAUCAUAUUUAUCGAUGACAUUAUAAUUCCAGCCUUGGAUGAAGUUCAGGCUGUAUCGAGGUUGAAGCAAGUGCUAGAAGUCGCAGCACAUUAUGGCUUGGAGAUUAAUUGGAAAAGGCGAACCUACUGCAGCGUGAAGUUGAGUACUUGGGCCACAGGGUGAAGGAUGGAGAAGUACGGCCGAGUACAGAUAAGGUGGAUGCAGUCAUAAGGUACCCUGAGCCAAGAACCCUCAAGCACUUGCACAGUUUUGUUGGAUUGACAAGCUAUUUCAGGAAGUACAUUGAAAAUUAUGCUUCUGUGGCGAAGCCAUUGACUGAUUUAUUAAAGAAGAAUACAGAGUUCAUAUUUGAGGAUAAGGAAAGAAAAGCUUUUGAGACACUGAAGAAUAAAUUAGCUAGCGGACCUGUUCUGAAGAUUUUCAAUCCGAAGUUGAAGACUGAAUUGCACACCGAUGCCUCAGGUGUAGCAUUGGCUGCAAUACUCAUGCAACACCAUCCAGGGUCAGGCUUACACCCAGUACAUUACAUGAGUAAGAAGACAACUGACAUUCAGAGCCGGUACUCAAGCUACGAAUUGGAAGCACUAGCCAUCAUAGAAGGUAUCAGGAAGUUCAGGCACUACCUUUAUGGUAUUCCAUUUAAAAUAGUCACAGACUGUAAGGCUUUUGAAUUAACACUUAAGAAGAAAGACUUGUCAGCCAAGGUAGCCAGGUGGGUCCUCAUGCUCAGUGAAUAUGAUUUGAAGUGGAGCACAGAGCGGGCUCCAGGAUGCAGCAUGCAGAUGCUUUGAGCCGCAUACCAACAGUGGCAGUGGUUACUACUCUGCAGGAGAGUUUACGCCAAGCACAAGAUCAAGAUGAUGGCAUAAAAGCCAUAAAGGAAAUUUUGAGAGGAGGAAGUCCAUACGACGAUUAUUGGUUAGAAAAUGGUGUGUUGUAUAAGACUGAGCAGAAGCUGUUUGUAGUGCCAAGAAGUUUGGAGAAAGAAAUUAUUAACAGAGUACACAGCAAAGGUCACUUUGGAAAGUCUAAGAUGAAAGAGUUACUGAAUAAGGAAUAUUACAUUAGAGAUGUGGACAAGAAGAUGCAGGAUUUUUAUUGAGUUGCAUUCCUUGCCUACUAGCAACAAGGAAGGAAGGAAAACAGGAAGGAUUCUUGAACCGAUAGAGAAAGAAGGUGUUCCAUUUGAUACCCUGCAUUUAGACCAUAUUGGUCCACUUACAGAGACAAGAAAGCAAUACAACUACAUACUCACGGUGAUAGAUGGGUUUACGAAGUUCGUAUGGCUGUUUCCCACGAAAACUACUUCAUCAUCAGAGACAUUAAGGAAAAUUCAGAUUCAUCAGCAAAUAUUU